rnacentral:rRNA from 1 species
AACGAACGCUGGCGGCAUGCCUAACACAUGCAAGUCGAACGAGACCUUCGGGUCUAGUGGCGCACGGGUGCGUAACGCGUGGGAACCUGCCCUUAGGUUCGGAAUAACUCCCCGAAAGGGGUGCUAAUACCGGAUAAUGUCUUCGGACCAAAGAUUUAUCGCCUUUGGAUGGGCCCGCGUUGGAUUAGCUAGUUGGUAGGGUAAAAGCCUACCAAGGCGAGGAUCCAUAGCUGGUCUGAGAGGAUGAUCAGCCACACUGGGACUGAGACACGGCCCAGACUCCUACGGGAGGCAGCAGUGGGGAAUAUUGGAACAAGGGCGAAAGCCUGAUCCAGCAAUGCCGCGUGAGUGAUGAAGGCCUUAGGGUUGUAAAGCUCUUUUACCCGGGAUGAUAAUGACAGUACCGGGAGAAUAAGCUCCGGCUAACUCCGUG